rnacentral:rRNA from 1 species
AUUGAACGCUGGCGGCAGGCCUAACACAUGCAAGUCGAGCGGGGUUUUCGGACCUAGCGGCGGACGGGUGAGUAAUGCGUAGGAAGCUACCCGAUAGAGGGGGAUACCAGUUGGAAACGACUGUUAAUACCGCAUAAUGUCUACGGACCAAAGUGUGGGACCUUCGGGCCACAUGCUAUCGGAUGCGCCUACGUGGGAUUAGCUAGUUGGUGAGGUAAUGGCUCACCAAGGCGACGAUCCCUAGCUGGUUUGAGAGGAUGAUCAGCCACACUGGAACUGCGACACGGUCCAGACUCCUACGGGAGGCAGCAGUGGGGAAUAUUGGACAAUGGGCGCAAGCCUGAUCCAGCCAUGCCGCGUGUGUGAGGAAGGCCUUCGGGUUGUAAAGCACUUUCAGUAGGGAGGAAGCGUUGUGUGUUAAUAGUACACAGCGUUGACGUUACCUACAGAAGAAGCACCGGCUAACUCUGUGCCAGCCGCCGCCGUAAAAC